rnacentral:rRNA from 1 species
AAUCCAGGCCCUACGGGGCGCAGCAGGCGCGAAAACUUUACAAUGCGGGCAACCGUGAUAAGGGAACCUCGAGUGCCUGUAAAUGCAGGCUGUUUAGGUGUUUAAAACGCACCUGGAGAAAGGGCCGGGCAAGACCGGUGCCAGCCGCCGCGGUAAUACCGGCGGCUCGAGUGGUGGCCACUUUUAUUGGGCUUAAAGCGUUCGUAGCUGGGUUGUUAAGUCUCUUGGGAAAUCUGGCGGCUUAACCGUCAGGCGUCUAAGGGAUACUGGCAAUCUUGGAACCGGGAGAGGUGAGGGGUACUUCGGGGGUAGGAGUGAAAUCCUGUAAUCCUCGAGGGACCACCUGUGGCGAAGGCGCCUCACCAGAACGGCUUCGACAGUGAGGGACGAAAGCUGGGGGAGCAAACCGGAUUAGAUACCCGGGUAGUCCCAGCCGUAAACUAUGCGCGUUAGGUGUAUCGGUGACCACGAGUUACCGAGGUGCCGAAGGGAAACCGUGAAACGUGCCGCCUGGGAAGUACGGUCGCAAGGCUGAAACUUAAAGGAAUUGGCGGGGGAGCACAACAACGGGUGGAGCUUGCGGUUUAAUUGGAUUCAACGCCGGAAAUCUUACCGGGACCGACAGCAACAUGAAGGCCAAGCGAGGAGUG